rnacentral:RNase_P_RNA from 1 species
GCAGUGAGCCACCCCACCGCCGCGCCCAACGCAAAUGCGGGCGGGGAGGAAAGUCCGGGCUACGCAGGGCACCCUGCUUCCUAACGGGAAGGACUGGCCAAUCGGGCCAGGACAGCCAGUGCCACAGAAAAUAACCGCCCGCAAGGGUAAGGGUGAAAAGGUGCGGUAAGAGCGCACCAGCGGCUGGGUGACCACGCCGGCUGGGUAAACCUCAGGGGUUGCAAGACCAAAUAAGCAGACACGUCGCGCUCCUUGGAGGGCGGCACCGGGCGGCCCGCUCGGGUUUGCGGGUAGGUCGCUGGAGCCUAGGGGUGACCCUAGGCCUAGAUAAAUGGUGGGGCCGCCGCCACGGGAAACCGUGCAGGGCGGACAGAACCCGGCUUAUCGGCUCAUUGCCUAA